GAGGUGGUAUAGUAUUUACGUGGUUACAUGCAGUAGAGUAGGCAACAACAGAACACCGAUGUGACACCUCUCUUUAAAAUAAAGCUUUAAGUUCGUGCGCCUGCGCAACAUUUCGGGGUUUGGAGAGUAUGUGAAGGCUUUUUGGAGACCACCAUUGAUACGAGGAUUGCUCUGCAAAGAAAAAAUAACUAUUACUCAUGCCCAUUGAAAUGAUUACGAGAUGCCGCUUGCCUAAUUAUCGUGAACUUGCGUUGGAACAAAUUACAACACAUUAUUGAACGGGUUGCAGUGGAGCCAACGAUUUCCUCCGUAUACAAACAAAACCGAGGCUUCUGUUUUUAAGGUGGAUAUUUAAGCUAGCAGCUACCUAGCCAGUCUACAAUGGAGUUAGUCUCUUUGUAAACACUGCGUCAGUUGUGCUAGCUAGCUAACUACCAUAACAAAGAAACAUGGGACUCGUAUAUUGUUGAAAGGGGGCAGACUCCUUUCCAUACGUUAGCUAAACAUGCAAGAAGAAAAUCGUUCUUUCUCAGGAAGGCAGCCAAUGGCAAUCGAAAGACGAGGUGAACUUUCCAGCUGUGCCGACUUCACGGAGGAGGAAGGGACAUCCGAGAGAGAUCUGCAACCCUGCAACGCUUUUCAUUUUACCUCAAAAUAAAACCCUGAGGUUCUGGAGCGAUGGAAACCGUGGGGAAAUUCGAGUUUAGCAGGAAGGAUUUGAUAGGACACGGUGCAUUUGCGGUGGUGUUCAAAGGCAGGAAUAGAGAGAAACACGACUGGGAGGUGGCCGUGAAAUGCAUAAACAAGAAGAACUUGGCAAAGUCUCAGACCCUUUUGGGGAAAGAGAUCAAAAUUCUCAAGGAACUAAAACAUGAAAACAUUGUUGCAUUACAUGACUUUCAGGAAACGGCCAGUUCUGUGUACCUGGUCAUGGAGUACUGCAAUGGUGGGGACCUGGCGGAUUAUCUACACUCCAAGGGCACCCUGAGUGAGGACACUAUCCGAGUGUUCCUGCAGCAGAUAGCCGGGGCCAUGAGGGUGCUGCAGGCCAAGGGGAUCAUUCACAGAGACCUCAAACCACAGAACAUUCUGCUCUCCUACCCCGCAGGACGCAAGUCCCACUCUACCAACACCUGCAUCAAGAUAGCUGACUUUGGGUUUGCACGGUACCUUCAGAACAACAUGAUGGCUGCUACUCUGUGUGGGUCCCCUAUGUACAUGGCACCUGAAGUCAUCAUGUCUCAGAACUAUGAUGCCAAGGCUGACCUGUGGAGCAUAGGAACCAUUUUGUUCCAGUGUCUGACAGGGAAAGCCCCGUUUCAGGCUAGCAGUCCCCAGGACCUCCGGCUAUUUUAUGAGAAAAACAAGAACCUCAGCCCCAAUAUCCCCAGAGAGACCUCCUGUCCCCUGAGGCUUCUGCUGCUGGGUCUUCUGCAGCGAAACCACACGGACCGCAUGGACUUUGAGGAGUUCUUCCGUCACCCCUUCCUGGAGGCAAGCUCGUCCAUGAAGAAAACAACUGUGACCAUGACGUGCUUUCCCAGCUCCGCUUCAGCCAGCUCCUGUAGCAGCUCUUCCACCUCACACCUGGCCUCCCCACCGCAGUCCCUGGCUGAGGUCCAGCAGGUCCGUACUAAGACACUCGCUUCUCCUACCCAGGAUUCCCCUGGCUUCCUCAAGGACUCGUCUGGAGGGGGCUGCAGCAGUAAGAACUCCUCCUGUGACACAGACGACUUUGUCAUGGUGCCCGCCCACUUUCCCACAGGUGAGCUCACCUGUGAGGGGCCUACUGGAAAGGUGUUCCACGACAGUCUGAUGAACAGCGGCUCUCUGCUAGCCUUUGGUGGCCUGGGCAGUCAGGGCAAGACCCCACCCCACUCCCCCUCCUACAGUGGCUCCCCCAAUCCUAUCAGUCGGCCUAACGAGUUCUCUGGCAGUAACUGUGGUAACUAUGGUCAGUCGGUGCCCAUUCCGGUUCCCACUCAGGUCCAAAACUACCAGCGUAUGGAGCAGAAGCUCCAUUCCCCCAGCCAGGACGGCUCCCCACGGCUGUCCACCCCAGUGCGUCGCUGUAGCAGCAAUAGUUCACUGGGAUUUGGAAGAACUGGCCCAUCUCUGCCUUACCCAGGAGGCCACGGGGCCUUGGCUGGCCUCCGCAGGCUGUCUGUAGGAGGGGCCAGACCCUUCCAGCUUUCACCUCAAGUGGGUACCAUCCCUGAGCUGCCAGGGCAGGUGCGCCCGCUGGGCACAGACACCGGUAGUGGGGGGUUGCGGGACGGAGCUCUCCAGUUCCUCGACAUGCGGCCUCCCGCUCAGCAGCAAGGCCUGGUCACCCGGCUUCACAGCGCCCCAUGUCUCCUCGAGGCUGCUAGCAGGGGCGGCAGGCAAAAUAUCAGGAAGCAGCACUCUGACCCAGUGGUGGCCAACCACCGGGCAGGCAUGGUGACUAUGCGGCCCCUGCACUCCUCCCCCAGGCUGAGUGAACUCAUGCAGCGCAGCCCCCUCCCCACCAUUCUAGGAUCUCCCUCGAGAGCCAUCCCACCCUUUGAGUUUCCAAAACCUCCCAGCACCCCCAACCUGGUGACCUUCCUGGCCCAGCAGGGCCUGGUUCUGGCCCCACCUGGCAGCAGGACUGCCUCAGACCACAGGGACCCAGGACAGCCGCCCACUGGGCAGCUUGGUCAAUACAGCCACAGGACCGCAGAGGACAACAAGAGCUUUGGCAGGUCUCAGAGUGCAAGUCGUCUGUCUGACAUGUUGCUGAUGGCUGCAUUUGGAGAGCCGCUGGGGGAGCGGGGGAGCAGUGAGAACCUCUGCUCUAACAGAGGAGCCAUAGACAUCACAGCACCCUCUGGUGAUGGUGCCAUGGCUGCAGGCUCAGCCAGCCCAGCCCAGGUGGUGUUCACUGUGGGCUCCCCGCCCAACAGCAGCACCCUACCACACACCUCCAGGACCAGGCAGUACUCAGCAGGCUCCUCCAGCUCUAUCAGCCCAGUGGGGUCCUUUACCAGCCGAUAUCAGACAGGCACCUAUCUGGAAGGCUUCGAGGAUCCCUCCAGUCCACGCUACAGCUUCACGGACCCCAUCACGGCCAACAUGGGGGGACCGGUCACCUUCCUGGCCCCUGAGCUGCCAGAGGAGACACUGAUGGCGCAGGAGCACACAGAGACCCUGAGGAGCCUUCACUUCACCCUGGACUUUGCCUGCUGUCUGAUGGAGGUGGCAGGAGUCAGGGGGACCGGGGCUGGGGCUGUGGCGGAGCAAGGGGACACCUCCCCACCCUCCCUCCUGCAGCAGCAGAGCCUGGUGGCAGACCAGAUCAGCUCCCUCAGCCGGGAGUGGAGCUAUGCAGAGCAGCUGGUGUUGUACAUGAAGACUGCAGAGCUCCUGUCGUCUGCCUUACACACAGCCAUGGGGUGCAUCAAACAGGGCAAACUGUACCCCUCUGCUACUGUCAAACAAGUGGUGAAGAGACUGAACAAGCUUUUCAAGUCCAGCGUGUCGUCCUGCUUCUCCCUCAACGCCCGUCUAGAGCGCUUCUUUUCUAGGAAGCACCGUCUCAUGGACCACAUUAACACUAUCACCGCCGAGAGGCUGCUGUUCAGCCACACCGUUCAGAUGGUGAGGAAGAUACUGUGUUCAGCUCAACACCGUUCAGAUGGUGAGGGAGACACUGUGUUCAGCUCAACACCGUUCAGAUGGUGCAGGCUGCUGCUCUGGAUGAGAUGUUCCACCAGGGAGAGGCGUCGGUGCAGCGCUACCACAAGGCCCUGCUGCUGAUGGAGGGCCUGUCCCUGCUCCUCACCGAGCACGAAGACAUCCUCAUCGUUACCAAAUGUAAGGAGUACAUCGAGCGUCGCCUCACAGCACUACAGUCAGGGCUCUGCAUCUGAGGACUCUGCUCAGCACCUGUGGAUGCUGCUAAACUAUGAUGUCAUUCAUUCUGGACAGAUACCACCAUGACCAUUCAAUCUGACCCCAUUCCCUACCAACUCAGUAUCCUCCCUCCUCCCUCUAGUUUCCAUGGAGAUACCAGCCAGUGGGGGGGUGGGGGGGGGGGUGUUAUGAAGGGCCUGGACUGGGUAUGCUUGGGACUGGUGACGCUGGUCUCUCAUACUCACAGUGGAGCCUGUGACUGCCUGGUUGAUGUUGGAGAUGAAGGGCUUGUGAGAAGGCCACUACUCACUCCUCCGUGUGUCAGACAGGACCCCACUACACGGACUGAGUGUGUUAGCUAUUCAUUUCUGUGCAGUGUCCCAUACACACAGCCUCUUACAGUCAGUAACGCUGCCCUGAGCAAUCGCAGCCAAGCGGUCUGCCGGAGGAUUCUAUUGCAGUCACAGACACGCUCCAUUUGAUUCUGUCAAUAAUUCAGCGCUAAGCAAUCACAAAUAGACCCUCACUCCUCUUAAGACAUGAGGUAUCACUCUAUAAGAAGCCACUCUGUGUAACAAAUAUGAAUCUCAACCCCUACGCGGGGCAUUGUGCUAUUUUUAGUUUGGCUUGUAAUGGUGAUUUGUGGACAAUAGUAUAGCGUGAUAUUACAGCGAGUGGGCUUAACUUGUCUGUUUGCCUCUUUUUGGUUUCUUUGAUGGUUUACAUUGAUUUAUAUUUUAUUUGUCGUUUUCAAGGAAACCAGAAGAGUUUAAGAGCGUUAAACACAAUUGUAUGGCCUGUCACAGCCCACAGGCCUGUGUGUGGAGAAAAAAAUGUGUGUUGUUAUUGACCCAGCUUAAUGUACAUUCCUGUGAUAGAACCAUAUAAAGGGGCUGUUACAGAAGUAUUGUACUUUAUUCAUCCCUGUCUGUGACGAUUUGUCGAUGCUAAGUUUGCCGUAUUAACAAUGACAAUGUUGCCCUUUUGGACCCAGCAGAUAGAUUUUUUUUUUACCAUAAACAGGAGAAUGUAGAGAGGAUUGCUGUAUGUGCCACUUCUGGGCCUUGACAGGAAAUGGACCUCACUGCGCAUUUCCUUUUGACCAAAGUGUUUGAUAUGGCUGCCAUGGUGGAAGAACAGCUGGAACUGCAUAAACCCCAUUGAGCUUUUUAGUCUGAGUGCUUGAGAUGGAUCAUCUUAUUAAUAUUUCCUGAAGUUUGUAACAAAUAUUGUUAUUUUAUCCAGUAUAGGCCAGGAAUAGCACUUUGUAGACCAAUCAGACAAAUGAAUAUUGCCCGAAUUGAAAAAUAAACCAAUUUGCACUGAUCUCUGACCAGACACGUGAGAUUUAGUUGAGCUUUAUUUAUUGCAUAUUUUCCCAUUCAAACUUCUUAUCGGAGUACAGCAAUCACAAUCAGUUUGUAAGACAUGUUGGCAGUAGAGUAGCAGCCCCUGUGACUGGACUACACCAGUGAUGGAUUACUGGUGUUAUAGCACUGUGUUGAGGUUUAUCAGUACUGUACAGAAAGAAUAGGGAAGGUGACUUAUAAGAUGUACAUGAAACAUUAUAUGUUCAGUUUUUCAUGUACAUAUUAGGAGAGAUUUCAGUUUAUAUAGGAUCAUUUCUAUGGGUUUUAUUGUAGUUUUAGGCGGUUUUGUUUUAGGUUUAUUCAUAGUCAGAUGUAUGAUGGGUGUCUGAAUCUUGACAGGGAAGUGUCAUAAGCUAUUAAAUUUUGAAAGGUGCCUUUGAGAAGAAGACCCCCCCCCCCCUACAAAAAAACUCUACAUUUGUACACUGAAAAAUUAUUUGUUGUAUUGAGUGUGUUUGUUUCCUUUCACAGUAGCCAAAAUGAGGACUGAUACUUGGAGUUUAUCGAAUUGUAGUGUAUCGGUUGUUAAAUGGAUAUUUGCUGGAAAGAGUUUUGUUUGAGGUGGGUGGCUGUUUCCCCAACCACAGCUCUAGGACCACAUCAUUGUAACCCCAGCAAUAACAAUUUAUUUUUAGAUAAAACAUCUGACAAUAUCUCUGACGGUGCAAUGGACCAGUGGUUAGAAGCGACUUCUUCUACCCACUCCAAGAGGCUUGCGUGUUCCGUGUAUGCAUUUGUGUGAAACCGUGUUUGUGAAAGAGUGAAGAGCUUUUAUAUUUCCUCACUACAGGGAACUAACAGAAACGAGAGCAGUCCUGCAGCUCUGUUGCAUAUCGAGCUAUGGAUCCUACCUGACUGCCUUGUUCGUCAUGGUUAGAGCAGUAUGAGGAAGGCAGCAUUUCCCCUGUGAAGAUUGAAUAUUUUGGUUUCCCCAUAGAUGUUUCUGGCCUUUUCCUUUCACCAGUCAGUAAAAAGUCUAUUUUUUUUCUUACUCUGAAAUGUUUCAUUUGCAUACAGCGUAUGACAAUGCAUUAAUUUCUAGUUUUAUAUGAUACACAUUCCAGAUUAUUAUGUCAUGUCUAGUGACCCAUAUGCUUCUUGUCACCCAGUGUGAUUCCUACAGAUCAGCUAGUGUAAAGUGGGAAAUGUUCAACGAGUGGCUGGUAGCAAGGCAAUGGUAGACCUUUAAGCUUUUUAUGCAUCUGUCACUUUUUUGUUUUGUUUCUUACAAUUAGUAGCCUAAAGCCACAUAAAUGUCAAAUAAAUCACUCUGUAGAAGAAUUACAACUUAGAAGGUGGUUAAUUGAAAAGCCCAUGACGUAAAAGCUUGAUCUGCACGCCAAUGCUUAGGUGAUGAUGAAUAAACAAUACAUGCCCACUUCCA